AACGAACGCUGGCGGCAGGCCUAACACAUGCAAGUCGAACGAGAAGCCACCUUCGGGUGGUGGAAAGUGGCAGACGGGUGAGUAACGCGUGGGAACGUGCCUUUCGGUUCGGGAUAACCCAGGGAAACUUGGGCUAAUACCGGAUACGCCCUUCGGGGGAAAGAUUCAUUGCCGAAAGAUCGGCCCGCGUCGGAUUAGCUAGUUGGUGGGGUAAUAGCCUACCAAGGCGACGAUCCGUAGCUGGUCUGAGAGGAUGACCAGCCACACUGGGACUGAGACACGGCCCAGACUCCGACGGGAGGCAGCAGUGGGGAAUAUUGGACAAUGGGCGAAAGCCUGAUCCAGCCAUGCCGCGUGGGUGAAGAAGGCCUUAGGGUUGUAAAUCCCUUUCAGCGGGGACGAUAAUGACGGUACCCGCAGAAGAAGUCCCGGCUAACUCCGUGCCAGCAGCCGCCGUAAAAC
rnacentral:rRNA from 1 species